CAUAGGUUAAUGAGGCGAACCGGGGGAACUGAAACAUCUAAGUACCCCGAGGAAAAGAAAUCAACCGAGAUUCCCCCAGUAGCGGCGAGCGAACGGGGAGGAGCCCAGAGCCUGAAUCAGCAUGUGUGUUAGUGGAAGCGUCUGGAAAGGCGCGCGAUACAGGGUGACAGCCCCGUACACAAAAGCGCAUGUGCUGUGAGCUCGAUGAGUAGGGCGGGACACGUGGUAUCCUGUCUGAAUAUGGGGGGACCAUCCUCCAAGGCUAAAUACUCCUGACUGACCGAUAGUGAACCAGUACCGUGAGGGAAAGGCGAAAAGAACCCCGGCGAGGGGAGUGAAAAAGAACCUGAAACCGUGUACGUACAAGCAGUGGGAGCCCCACCACUAAGCCAGUGGUGAAGUCCACAUACGCAUCCUUUGCUGAGGAUACGGUUAACGGAGCGCAAGCGACGUUCAACCGCAAAAGAAGCAGAGGGGGCUUAGUGGUGGGGUGACUGCGUACCUUUUGUAUAAUGGGUCAGCGACUUAUAUUCUGUAGCAAGGUUAACCGAAUAGGGGAGCCGGAGGGAAACCGAGUCUUAAUUGGGCGUUAAGUUGCAGGGUAUAGACCCGAAACCCGGUGAUCUAGCCAUGGGCAGGUUGAAGGUUGGGUAACACUAACUGGAGGACCGAACCGACUAAUGUUGAAAAAUUAGCGGAUGACCUGUGGCUGGGGGUGAAAGGCCAAUCAAACCGGGAGAUAGCUGGUUCUCCCCGAAAGCUAUUUAGGUAGCGCCUCGUGAAUUCAUCUCCGGGGGUAGAGCACUGUUUCGGCUAGGGGGCCAUCCCGGCUUACCAACCCGAUGCAAACUGCGAAUACCGGAGAAUGUUAUCACGGGAGACACACGGCGGGUGCUAACGUCCGUCGUGAAGAGGGAAACAACCCAGACCGCCAGCUAAGGUCCCAAAGUCAUGGUUAAGUGGGAAACGAUGUGGGAAGGCCCAGACAGCCAGGAUGUUGGCUUAGAAGCAGCCAUCAUUUAAAGAAAGCGUAAUAGCUCACUGGUCGAGUCGGCCUGCGCGGAAGAUGUAACGGGGCUAAACCAUGCACCGAAGCUGCGGCAGCGAACGUAUCACCCAAGACAACUUUACGGAGUUGACGAUUGACGGAGCGAAGCGACGUCAAAGCGUUCAUUAAAGUCGAGUUGGCUUAGGGAUACGUUCGUUGGGUAGGGGAGCGUUCUGUAAGCCUGUGAAGGUGGCCUGUGAGGGUUGCUGGAGGUAUCAGAAGUGCGAAUGCUGACAUAAGUAACGAUAAAGCGGGUGAAAAGCCCGCUCGCCGGAAGACCAAGGGUUCCUGUCCAACGUUAAUCGGGGCAGGGUGAGUCGACCCCUAAGGCGAGGCCGAAAGGCGUAGUCGAUGGGAAACGGGUUAAUAUUCCCGUACUUGGUGUUACUGCGAAGGGGGGACGGAGAAGGCUAUGUUGGCCGGGCGACGGUU
rnacentral:rRNA from 1 species